CAAGGAAUUUUCCCCAAUGGGCGCAAGCCUGAGGGAGCAACGCCGCGUGCAGGACGACGGCCUUCGGGUUGUAAACUGCUUUUGCGUGGGACGAUAACGACGGUACCACGCGAAUCAGCCCCGGCUAACUCUGUGCCAGCAGCCGCGGUAAUACAGAGGGGGCAAGCGUUGUCCGGACUUACUGGGCGUAAAGCGCACGCAGGUGGUAACGCAAGUGGGGUGUGAAAGCCGCCAGCUCAACUGGCGGAGGCCAUCCCAAACUGCGUCACUUGAGGCCUGUAGAGGUAUGUGGAAUUGCCGGUGUAGUGGUGAAAUGCGUAGAGAUCGGCAGGAACACCCAGGGGGAAGCCAGCAUACUGGACCGUAACUGACACUCAGGGACGAAAGCUAGGGGAGCGAAAGGGAUUAGAUACCCCCGUAGUCC
rnacentral:rRNA from 1 species